UACAGAGGUCUCAAGCGUUGUUCGGAUUCAUUGGGCGUAAAGGGUGUGUAGGUGGCGCCGUAAGUCGGGUGUGAAAGUCAAAGGCUCAACCUUUGAAAGCCGAUGGAUACUGUGUGGCUAGAGUACGGAAGAGGCGAGUGGAAUUCCUGGUGUAGCGGUGGAAUGCGCAGAUAUCAGGAGGAACACCAAUAGCGAAGGCAGCUCGCUGGGACGUUACUGACACUGAGGCGCGAAAGCGUGGGGAGCGAACAGG
rnacentral:rRNA from 1 species